rnacentral:rRNA from 1 species
UACGUAGGGCGCAAGCGUUGUCCGGAAUUACUGGGCGUAAAGGGCUCGUAGGCGGCCAACUAAGUCGGACGUGAAAUCCCCAGGCUCAACUUGGGAACUGCGUCCGAUACUGGAUGGCUUGAAUUCGGGAGAGGGAUGCAGAAUUCCAGGUGUAGCGGUGAAAUGCGUAGAUAUCUGGAGGAAUACCGGUGGCGAAGGCGGCAUCCUGGACCGACAUUGACGCUGAUGAGCGAAAGCCAGGGGAGCAAACGGG